GAUGAACGCUGGCGGCGUGCCUAAUACAUGCAAGUCGAGCGAACAGACGAGGAGCUUGCUCCUUUGACGUUAGCGGCGGACGGGUGAGUAACACGUAGGUAACCUACCUAUAAGACUGGGAUAACUUCGGGAAACCGGAGCUAAUACCGGAUAAUAUUUCGAACCGCAUGGUUCGAUAGUGAAAGAUGGCUUUGCUAUCACUUAUAGAUGGACCUGCGCCGUAUUAGCUAGUUGGUAAGGUAACGGCUUACCAAGGCAACGAUACGUAGCCGACCUGAGAGGAGGAGCGCCAGCACGGGAACGGAGACACGGCCCAGCCUCCUCGGGAAGGAAGAGGGGGGCAUGCGUCGACAAUGGGAGAAAUCCUGAGGGAGCACCGCGGCGGGUGUGAAGAAGGUCUUAGGAGCGAAAAACUUUUUUAGUGGGGAAAAACAAAAGUAAAUUAAAUUGUGCCUUUCUUGACGUUACCAAAUCAAAAAGCAACGCCUAACUACGUC
rnacentral:rRNA from 1 species